rnacentral:rRNA from 1 species
AACGGACGCUGGCGGCAUGGAUUAGGCAUGCAAGUCGAACGUGAAGCUCCGCUUCGGCGGAGUGGAAAGUGGCGAAAGGGUGAGUAACGCGUGAGUAACUUGCCCCAAGUUGGGAAUAACCCUUCGAAAGAAGGGCUAAUACCGAAUGUGGUUAACCGUUCGCAUGUACGGUUUUCUAAAGGUUUACUGCUUGGGGAUAGGCUCGCGUCCCAUUAGCUUGUUGGUAAGGUAACGGCUUACCAAGGCUGUGAUGGGUAGCUGGUCUGAGAGGACGAUCAGCCACACUGGGACUGAGACACUGCCCAG